rnacentral:rRNA from 1 species
AGAGUUUGAUCCUGGCUCAGGAUGACCUCUAGCGACAGGCUUAACACAUGCAAGUCGAGGGGCAGCGGGGGUGAUGGCUUGCCAUCACCUGCCGGCGACCGGCGCACGGGUGAGUAACACGUAUGCAACCUGCCCGCCACAGGGGGGAUAAGCGGAAGAAAUUCCGUCUAAUACCGCGUGACGCGGCGUCGGGGCAUCCCGGUGCCGCCAAAGGGAUUACCGGUGGCGGAUGGGCAUGCGGCGCAUUAGCUAGUCGGCGGGGUAACGGCCCACCGAGGCGACGAUGCGUAGGGGUUCUGAGAGGAAGGUCCCCCACACUGGUACUGAGACACGGACCAGACUCCUACGGGAGGCAGCAGUGAGGAAUAUUGGUCAAUGGGCGGGAGCCUGAACCAGCCAAGUCGCGUGAGGGAUGACGGUCCUACGGAUUGUAAACCUCUUUUGCCGGGGAGCAAGCGUGCGUUCGUGAACGCGCGUCGAGAGUACCCGGAGAAAAAGCAUCGGCUAACUCCGUGCCAGCAGCCGCGGUAAUACGGAGGAUGCGAGCGUUAUCCGGAUUUAUUGGGUUUAAAGGGUGCGUAGGCGGGAUGCCAAGUCAGCGGUAAAAAUGCGGUGCUCAACGCCGUCGAGCCGUUGAAACUGGCGUUCUUGAGUGGGCGAGAGGUAUGCGGAAUGCGUGGUGUAGCGGUGAAAUGCAUAGAUAUCACGCAGAACUCCGAUUGCGAAGGCAGCAUACCGGCGCCCUACUGACGCUGAGGCACGAAAGCGUGGGUAUCGAACAGGAUUAGAUACCCUGGUAGUCCACGCAGUAAACGAUGAAUGCUAACUGUCCGGUGCGAGUGAGCGCUGGGCGGUACAGCGAAAGCGUUAAGCAUUCCACCUGGGGAGUACGCCGGCAACGGUGAAACUCAAAGGAAUUGACGGGGGCCCGCACAAGCGGAGGAACAUGUGGUUUAAUUCGAUGAUACGCGAGGAACCUUACCCGGGCUCAAACGCAGGAUGACGGGUCCCGAAAGGGGCCUUUCUUCGGACAUUCUGCGAGGUGCUGCAUGGUUGUCGUCAGCUCGUGCCGUGAGGUGUCGGCUUAAGUGCCAUAACGAGCGCAACCCCUGUCCACAGUUGCCAGCAGGUAAAGCUGGGGACUCUGUGGAGACUGCCGGCGCAAGCUGCGAGGAAGGCGGGGAUGACGUCAAAUCAGCACGGCCCUUACGUCCGGGGCGACACACGUGUUACAAUGGCAGGUACAGCGGGAUGCCACGGGGCGACCCGGCGCUGAACCCGAAAACCUGUCUCAGUUCGGAUUGGAGUCUGCAACCCGACUCCAUGAAGCUGGAUUCGCUAGUAAUCGCGCAUCAGCCACGGCGCGGUGAAUACGUUCCCGGGCCUUGUACACAACGCCCGUCAAG